GAGACUUCAGUCAAAGCAUUUAACUGAGGUGUGAAAAAUAAGCUGAACUCUACAGCUUGUUGUGGUCCCCUGUGGCUUGACAGCCUUCCAGCUGUUCUCCAGCAUUUUCAUUUACAGUCAUAAAAUAUCUCCACAUGUUGCUCCUCUUUCUCUCUCUCUGCAGUCCAAAUGCGUCUUCUGAGCGCAUCUGAGUCACGUGACGGCACAGUAACAAAUCCCAGCAGGGCAGGAAGAAGGGGGCGGAGCAAAGUGCGUCUGCCGCAUAAGAAGAGGUGUUCACACAGACAGAGCUGCUUUUUCAUCCACAGCGAGUAAAUAGUGAACCUCCAGGAGAGAAACAAACUAAAGUAUCGAUCAUAUACCACUACCAACGUUUGGAUCGAUAUCUGCAUCGAUCUGCACACCCUUGUCUCCUGGAUCGUAGCUGAGAUCAGCGUGAACCACGUGGGUCUCUGCUCCCUGACCUGUUUCCUCUGUUUGGAAAGAGUUCCAGCUUCAUCACGGAGUUUCUCUCGGUUUGUGGGCUCAUCUAAAGGACCAACGUGGAUCGAGAAGUCAGCGCUCUCAGGAGGCCGACAAUUUUGUUGAAGAAAGAAGUGGAAGAAAAAAAUACAACCGUGACGAGUUUGGGAAAGAUUUUACUGUGAAAGCUUCCCUAAAAAUGCAUCAAGUUAUCCACACCGGAGAGAGACCAUUCAGCUGUGGAGACUGUGGAGAGUCUUUUACCAGGUCUGGAAGCUUAAAAACACACAAACUCAUCCACACUGGAGAGAGACCAUUCAGCUGUGGAGACUGUGGAAAGUCUUUUACGCAGUCUAGAUACUUAAAAACACACCAACUAAUCCACACUGGAGAGAGACCCUUCAGCUGUGGAGACUGUGGAAAGUCUUUUACCCAGUCUGGAAACUUAAAAGAACACCAAUUAAUCCACACUGGAGAGAGACCGUACAGCUGUGACGAGUGUGGAAAGUCUUUUACCACGUCUGGAAACUUAAAAAGACACCAACUCCUCCACACUGGAGAGAGACCGUUCAGCUGUGACGAGUGUGGAAAGUCUUUUACCACGUCUGGACACUUAAAAACACACCAACUCCUCCACAGUGGACAGACACCGUUCAGCUGUGGAGACUGUGGAAAGUCUUUUACCCAGUCUGGAAGCUUAAAAAGACACCAACUAAUCCACACUGGAGAGAGGCCGUUCAGCUGUGGAGACUGUGGAAAGUCUUUUACCAUGUCUGGAAACUUAAAAUCACAUCAACUCAUCCACAGUGGAGUUAAAGCGUACACCUGUGAUCAGUGUGGCAGAGCUUUUACUCACAGUACCAGCUUACAGAGUCAUCUAGUUACCCACUCUGGAAUUAAGGCGUACAGCUGUGACUUUUGUGGAAAAACUUUCAGCUGGAUAGGGAGCCGAAAUACACACCUACGCAUUCACACCAGACAUGAUGUGUACAGCUGUGAUCAGUGUGGUAAACAGUUUACUACAAACACACAGUUACGACGUCACAUGUUUACCCACACUCAGGAACGACCUUAUAAAUGUGACCUGUGUGAGAAGACUUUUAAAUCUCCACGUUACCUGAGACGACACCAACAGAUCCACACCAGAAAGACUCUACAAGUGCAGUUACUGUGAGAAGCAGAGCGACACAGAUGGAUCAAGUUCUCAACCCUGUCAUCGCUGUGGGAAAGACUUUUGUUGUGACCUUUGUGGAAAAACUUUAAGUCAUUGAAGGACUCUGAAAAUACAUCAACGUAGACACACUGGAGACAAAAUGAACUACUGUAAAGAAUGCGGGAGAGGCUUCACCACUUCAAAGGACUUCAAACAAUAUGAACUCCUUCACAGUGGCGUUAAAAAGCAUGUCUGCGAUCAGUGUGGGUCAUCCUUCAUCAGUGCACGUCAGCUUGAAAAGCAUAAACGAGUCCACACAUGAGAGAAACCAUACAAGUGCAGACACUGUGACAAAACCUUUUCACAAUCAUGUGAUCAUACUAAGCAUGAGCGCAGACACAUGAAAGAGAACUUCAUCACGGCGCCCCCCGUGUGCGGCAGCCUGUUACAGCAGCUCUGCUCGGUCUGAGUUUCUUUCUUUCUUAUUUUUUUCUUCUUGUAAUUUUUUAUAACUAACGUAUUAGUAAUUAGAUAACAAAUUUCCCACGUGUGGGACUAAUAAAGGUUAUCUUAUCUGUGAAAGAGUUUGAGUAAUCUCAGUUCAUACUCCACUCAGAAACGAUUCCAUGUUACAAAUAAACGGUUACGUCUUGAUUCCUGCUUUUACGUUAAUCUUGUAAACAGUACAUUUCCAUAACGACUGAAACCGGCCCAAUGAAUGAACAAUGGGCUGUGAGGUCAAUUUCUUCAUCAUUAAUAUGCAAAUUCUUAUGAGCAUUGAUCAACAACCACUGGUCAAUGGCCAUGAGUACCAUUCACAGAGUAAAAAUUUGCAUAAUGAUUAUGAAGUUUACUGUUACCAAUGUUCAAAAACAUUUACUAAAUUAUCUUCUCUGUGCAAACAUCAGCGUGAUGCAGGACUGAAAUCAUUGCCAUCUCUGGAUCACAGUGAAUCUGCAGAGACAGAAAGAUCCUCUUCUGGUUUCAGCGUCAGACUUAAACCCUUGAGAUCAGGCUCCACAGAGUUCAGGUGGAGUCUUCUGUAAAGAUCUGAUGAGGCAGCUAUGAAUGAAAAUGUGCCUCUUAUUGCGUUUUAAGCUUUCUAAACUGUUCUACUGUAGUGUUUGU